AAUAAUGAAGGACAUCAUCAUCCUUGUGAUGGCGGUGAACUCUGAAGCUAGCGGCUGUAAUGCCGAACCGUCCCGAAGUGAUCAUCGUCCUCUCUCAACUGUUUCGAAAUCUUGCGAUUUCUACUUCGUAGAUCUCGAUUUGUUCCAAUUCCGCGAAGAUUUCGUGGCAGUCCAUCUGAAAUAGGCAAGGCCAAGCACCACAUCAAAGAUUACUACUAGGGCAGAUUUUGUGGCAUGAGGCAGUGGUGUUUGGAACAGAACAACUUCAGUUUCAGGAAUCAACCAUUUAGUCGUUCAACGAUGGCUUGUGGAGAAGAGAGAGAGAAUGAAAGACAUUAAAAUAAACAAAAACUUUGUGGUUUGCAGCUGAAUUUGGCAUAAACCUAUUUUAUUAUCUUUGUUUGGAGUUUUGAACCUAAUGUUGCUUUUCUUUGUGUGGAUCUGUUAAAUGUUCUAGAUGUUUGAUCACCCAAUUUGGAAACUAUUUAUGUGGAUGAAGACUUUACUUUUAGACUGUU